AGAUCAAAGGAUGAGAAAAAACUGCAACAAUAUGAUGGAUUCCGAUCCAUGAUUCCUAGUAUUUAAGUCUCUGAUGAUU